CGCGAAUUGUCUAGAACUUUCUGGAAGACACGCGGGCAUCAGGGAUUAAUCUGGAACCUUCGAUGACUCAGGUAUAAAAGCCGACGCGUUUCGCCGCUGAUCAGAUUUCGACGACCGCCGACUGUGUUCGCCGCUUUCGUUGUGCUUCGAGUGUAGCUUGCUUUUGUGGGCACAGCAUAGAGAAAGAAAUUCAACAAGAGGGGACACUCGGCAAAAACUGGCAACAGGAAACACGUCACCAUACGUCACGCUAUACUUUUGACACCGAACGUUAGCUGCCGCGAGCAUCGAAAAAAAAGAAAGUGAACUUAAGUUAACAGGCAUUGAUUUAUUUUUUUAAUUCUUUGCCGCGAAAACUAAAACGUUUUGCGUAUAAAUGAACUUAAGCUUUGCGACUUAUUUUCCUUGCCUUACCUAGCCACAGGUCAAUGACGCGCCAGAUACAUGCGUCAUCCGCCAGACACUCCCCCGAAGCCAGCGAGGAUGGCUGCGCGCGCGUUUGAGCGCUCGCGCGCGGCGACCCGUCUGUCUCCUUCUUUUUUUCUUUUUUAAAUGUAACCUGGUUUAUUGGGCUCCCGGCGUAUUCUUGCGUUCCUUCUGCACUGGGACAAGACACCACUGCACUAUUGGACUACGGCAAGCUGGUGCCGUCCGGUGGAGCUUCAUACAGGAACUACUGCCUUACCUGCUGGUGUCACAACGUUGGAUGAACGCACAAAAAGCGCGGAACGAGCUUUUAUAUAGAGCAAAAUAAAUAUUUCCUCAUUGCACAAAA